ACGCAUUCAACAGGCGGAUUCAGUGAAGGAUAAAGAUCAGAAACGAUAGGAAGGUUCGAGAUUUGUGAAAGGGAAUCUGUUUGAGUAACGAGAUCGGGAAAGUUUAAUAAAUAUUUCUUGUGUUUUCCGUUUGUUGUUGCCCUGGAAUUUGCAAUUUACGGCGCUGGAAUCUCACGAAAACCUUUGUUUUCUGUUUCGUGCCUUGUUCGAGGUUUUUUGCGUUUAAUUUUUAUAUUUUGGGGGUUCGGAAUUUGAAUUCCCAACGCUCGUGCAGGUUUGAACCUAGCGGAAGUUAAACCCUCGAAUUUCUUUACUUUUUCGAGGUUUUCAUAGCUUGCGCGGUUUUUUGUCUUUUAAUUUUUAGUCUUACUAUUGCUAUUUGAUCAAUUGAACGAGCGAUCAGUGAUGUUGAGUCAACAACAGAAGCAGCUGAUGGUGAACUUGAAUCACAAUAUGGUUAUGAAUCAGAUGGCUUUGCAGUCACAGCAGCAGAUGAUGGUGCCGGCGAAUCGAGGAUACAGUCCGUGGGCGGCGGCGGCGGCGCCGCCGCCUCAAUUUCAGAAGGCUAACUCAAACCCUGGUGCGAUGAAACCGCCGUUACCUGCUUUUAAAAAGUCGUUAGGACCGAGGAGUGACUGGAAGGGGAAGAACGUGAAGAAGGCGAACGAUAAGAGGAGAAAUGAGGUCCAGAAAUCCUUAAUUUCUGGAGAUCUUAACUUAGUCCGCGGUGGCUGCAGUGGGGGUUUAGGUAAUUUUAAUAGUUAUCAGCCUCCAAAUCUGACUGACUUGCAUCAUCAGAAUCGAGUGAAGUCUAGAAAGUUCUUUCCAAAGAAGAAAUUUAAUAAGAACAACAAUAUGAAUAUGAUGAACGUUGAAGCCAACCAGAACAGUUAUAAUAAUAGCAUGUCUGCUCCAUUAGCUCCUAGGAACACAACGUCGUUUAUAAUUAGGGCAAAAAGGAGUGGUGGUAUCGCAUCAUUGGUUUCUCCUUCUCCUAUGACGCCUGCUGUUUUACCCACACCUAUUCUUUCUCCAUCCAGGGAAGUCUUGGUGGACAUGGCAAAAGAAGAGUGGGGUGUUGAUGGAUAUGGUUCUAUGAAAGGGUUGAUUAGAUUGAGGUCUCCAGGGCAUGAGGAUGAUGCCGAAGAUGACGGGGGUUCGAGUGAGAGUGAUGUGGAAGAGCACGUCGAGGUGGAGAGGAGGUUGGACCAUGAUUUGAGCAGGUUUGAGAUGAUUUAUAAUCCUAACGAGGGUGUGGUAGAUUAUCAUAAUGUGCUCGAGAAUCGGGUGGAUGAUCAGGAUUCUCAUAUUGCUCAAUUAGAGGAUGAGAAUCUGUUGUUAAAGGGAAGAUUGUUCUUGAUGGAGAGGGAUUUGGAUGAAUUGAGGAGGAGGAUCCAGUUUCUAGAAAGGAGAAGAAACGAAGAGGAUAUGAACGAGGAAGUCGUAGAUAACGACUACGAAAAUGGAAGUGAAAAUCGUGGUGAGGAAACUCAUUCAGUCGAGGACAAUAACGAAGACUUCUGUGAAGAUAGCAUUACUCGUGACGACGGAUCUUGCAAACAGAAAAGGGUUAGUGAUAAGGAAUUUGGGUAUGGUUCUGGAACGAAUGAAAUUGUUAGAGACACUGAAGGGAUUAGUGAUAACGAGAACAAAUUCUUGGAUGGGGUAGCGAUAAAGUUGACGUGAGAAACUGAAGUUACAAAUCCUAACAUGUUUUUGAAAAGUAAUGGGCUACCAAGAACUUGAGAGAGUAUAGGAAGGAAAGACUUGAUAAUUGUCCCUUGUGAAUGAAGCAUGUGCCUGAAUGCUUGUUUGUUUCUUUACUGUAGCUAGUGUUCGAUCUUGAUCGUGUAGAUAUCUGACUUGCUUAAUAAUCUCGAAAGAAUAGGUUCUGUUGCACAAACUUUUACGGUUAUCGUCAUGUCUUCACAUGUUUCUUUUUUCUUAUGGUCAGGAUUGUACAGGUGCAGGUUGCAUCAUAUCGACUACUACUUCAGGGUUCGGUCAGUUGUUAAUGAGAUUUUCUAUAUGUAGUGUUCUUUAUUGUUUGUAAUGGAACCAUGACUUACUUAAUGAGACUUGUCUUGAUAGCCAUGCUUAAUCGUCUUUGUGUGCUUUUAUAUUCUUCUUUUUUUGUUUGCUUAAUUUUUUAUUUAGUGUAGCGAAGAAAUCUGGAGGGUCUUUCUUGCCAGAUCAAGAUUUGGUUUGAAAUGAAGUUGAUCUGCAGUUAGUUCAUUAAAACCAUUCUAUCCAAGUCUCCUACUCCUGCAUUCAUGAGAUGGGAAAGCCCAACAUUAGUCGUUUACUUGAUUCGAUAUGUGCUUCUUUCUACAGCCGGUUUGUUGCAGAAGCUGCGUCGUCCGAUAUACUCUGAUGAUGUGAAUAUGAGGUACGAAUUGAUGAUACAUCUAUGGGCAGGGGCAGGGGCAGGGGCAGUCGAUCAUCUUUGAAUUUAUGGGGAAGUUUGUUCAGUUCAAGAAUUGGGUUAUUUGCAGCAGCUUCUAGAGUGAAUGGUUUUUGGUCUUUUUUAUUUUCUUACAUACCAUAAUUAUAAUGUGGGGAUGACGAUGCUGAUUGAUAUUAAAAAAUCAGUACCAACACAACAACAAAUUCUGUGAAUUGACAACUUGUCAUCAAUUUAGAGAGAUUGUAUUAAUACAAUGGAAGAUAUUUCUUUCGUA